AUGCUAACGGAGAAUGACUUUUUGAAUCUGAGCAGAAUCAUGAUGAUUGUGCAGAGGCAGCUACGGUUGUCUCUGGAUUUGAAGGGGAGACAAUCAGAUUGUGGCAGUUUUGACGGUGGAUCUUUGGCGACGUUGUUUUUCUAUGUAAAACGAAGGGCUCUCAUCGACGUUUGCAUCGGCUGA